rnacentral:tmRNA from 1 species
GGGGCUGACAUGGCAUUGACGGUAGGAUCAAUCGGAAUGGCAGCAUGCCGAGCGUUGGGAAUCCGGCUCGUAAAUCUCAAUUCCCGUCGCCUAUAAAUGGCAACGAAGACUACGCACUCGCUGCUUAAUCACGCGAAAGCGGUUUAAGCUUCAUCCCGACGACAAGAGGUCGCGGGACGAGUCGCCUCUCCGGCGGCGCUGACCAGCCGCGGCCGGGCCAAGAGGUGUCACCACAAAGCUGGUAUAGCUCAGUCACCGCCCCGAUGGCUGGGUGAAACUAAAGGGGCUAGGAAACGUCGAAGGUUGGUUCCUGACCAUGUCGUUUCCGAAAUUCAAACAAGGAACUAAGCAUGUAGAAACCAUUUCGGUUUCUUAUCCGGACGCGGGUUCGAUUCCCGCCAGCUCCAC